CCUACGGGAGGCAGCAGUGGGGGAUAUUGCACAAUGGGGGAAACCCUGAUGCAGCGACGCCGCGUGUGGGAAGACGGUCCUCUGGAUUGUAAACCACUUUCCCAGGGACGAAGAUGACGGUACUUGUGGACUCACCUCCGGCUAACUCCGUCCCAGCAGCCGCUGUCAUACGUAGGGAGCGAGCGUUGGCCGGAAGUACUGGGUGUAACGUGAGCGUAGGCGGGACUGCAAGUGGGGUGUAAAAUCUACCGGCCCAACCGGUAGCCGCACUCAAAACUGCAGUUCUUGAGUGAGGUAGGGGCAGGCGGAAUUCCUGGUGUAGCGGUGAAAUGCGUAGAUAUUAGGAGGAACACCAGUGGCGAAGGCGGCCUGCUGGGC
rnacentral:rRNA from 1 species